rnacentral:rRNA from 1 species
UACGUAGGGUGCAAGCGUUGUCCGGAAUUAUUGGGCGUAAAGAGCUCGUAGGCGGUUCGUCGCGUCGGCUGUGAAAACCCGAGGCUCAACCUCGGGCCUGCAGUGGGUACGGGCAGACUAGAGUGCGGUAGGGGGAGAAUGGAAUUCCUGGUGUAGCGGUGGAAUGCGCAGAUAUCAGGAGGAACACCGAUGGCGAAGGCAGUUCUCUGGGGCCGUAACUGACGCUGAGGAGCGAAAGCGUGGGGAGCGAACAGG